AUUGAACGCUGGCGGCAUGCCUUACACAUGCAAGUCGAACGGCAGCACGGGUGCUUGCACCUGGUGGCGAGUAGCGAACGGGUGAGUAAUACAUCGGAACAUGUCCUGUAGUGGGGGAUAGCCCGGCGAAAGCCGGAUUAAUACCGCAUACGAUCUACGGCUGAAAGCGGGGGACCUUCGGGCCUCGCGCUAUAGGGUUGGCCGAUGGCUGAUUAGCUAGUUGGUGGGGUAAAGGCCUACCAAGGCGACGAUCAGUAGCUGGUCUGAGAGGACGACCAGCCACACUGGGACUGAGACACGGCCCAGACUCCUACGGGAGGCAGCAGUGGGGAAUUUUGGACAAUGGGCGAAAGCCUGAUCCAGCAAUGCCGCGUGUGUGAAGAAGGCCUUCGGGUUGUAAAGCACUUUUGUCCGGAAAGAAAUCCUUGGCCCUAAUACGGUCGGGGGAUGACGGUACCGGAAGAAUAAGCACCGGCUAACUACGUG
rnacentral:rRNA from 1 species